AGGCUUGACAUGCACCGGACGACCUCAGAGAUGGGGUUUUCUUUGGACUGGUGCACAGGUGGUGCAUGGUUGUCGUCAGCUCGUGUCGUGAGAUGUUGGGUUAAGUCCCGCAACGAGCGCAACCCUCGUUCCAUGUUGCCAGCGCGUAAUGGCGGGGACUCUUGGGAGACUGCCGGGGUCAACUCGGAGGAAGGUGGGGACGACGUCAAAUCAUCAUGCCCCUUAUGUCUUGGGCUUCACGCAUGCUACAAUGGCCGGUACAAUGGGUUGCGAAACUGUGAGGUGGAGCGAAUCCCAAAAAGCCGGUCUCAGUUCGGAUUGGGGUCUGCAACUCGACCCCAUGAAGUCGGAGU
rnacentral:rRNA from 1 species